rnacentral:rRNA from 1 species
AUUGAACGCUGGCGGCAGGCCUAACACAUGCAAGUCGAGCGGCAGCGGAAAGUAGCUUGCUACUUUGCCGGCGAGCGGCGGACGGGUGAGUAAUGUAUGGGAAACUGCCUGAUGGAGGGGGAUAACUACUGGAAACGGUAGCUAAUACCGCAUAACGUCGCAAGACCAAAGAGGGGGACCUUCGGGCCUCUUGCAAUCAGAUGUGACCAGAUGGGAUUAGCUAGUAGGUGGGGUAACGGCUCACCUAGGCGACGAUCCCUAGCUGGUCUGAGAGGAUGACCAGCCACACUGGAACUGAGACACGGUCCAGACUCCUACGGGAGGCAGCAGUGGGGAAUAUUGCACAAUGGGCGCAAGCCUGAUGCAGCCAUGCCGCGUGUAUGAAGAAGGCCUUCGGGUUGUAAAGUACUUUCAGCGGGGAGGAAGGUGUUGAGGUUAAUAACCUCAGCAAUUGACGUUACCCGCAGAAGAAGCACCGGCUAACUCCGUGCCAGCCGCCGCCGUAACAC